rnacentral:rRNA from 1 species
UCCUACGGGAGGCAGCAGUAGGGAAUCUUCCGCAAUGGACGAAAGUCUGACGGAGCAACGCCGCGUGAGUGAUGAAGGCUUUCGGGUCGUAAAACUCUGUUGUUAGGGAAGAACAAGUGCUAGUUGAAUAAGCUGGCACCUUGACGGUACCUAACCAGAAAGCCACGGCUAACUACGUGCCAGCAGCCGCGG